UCGAGAAUAAUUCACAAUGGGGGAAACCCUGAUGCAGCAACGCCGCGUGAAGGAAGAAGGUCUUCGGAUUGUAAACUUUUGUCUUGCGGGACGAAUAAUGACGGUACCGCAGGAGGAAGCCACGGCUAACUACGUGCCAGCAGCCGCGGUAAUACGUAGGUGGCGAGCGUUGUCCGGAAUUACUGGGUGUAAAGGGUGCGUAGGCGGAUUUGCAAGUCAGGUGUGAAAACUAUCGGCUUAACCGGUAGCCUGCACUUGAAACUGUGAGUCUUGAGUGGUGAAGAGGUAAGCGGAAGUCCUAGUGUAGCGGUGAAAUGCGUAGAUAUUAGGAGGAACACCAGUGGCGAAGGCGGCUUACUGGGCACUAACUGACGCUGAGGCACGAAAGCAUGGGGAGCAAACA
rnacentral:rRNA from 1 species